rnacentral:lncRNA from 10 species
UUGUAAGGUAGCUCUCCUCCACAGGAAAAUUCAGGGACCCAGGCCAAUGGUGGCUCUGAAAUUUUCAACAUACUGCUUCCAAGAUCCCUCUGAACAUUACUGUAGACUUCAUAUGAAAGGGGAAAGACCAUGUAUAUGAGGGGCCAGAUGUGUAUGUUCUUUAUAAGCCAGAGCUAGACCUCAGUUACAUGGUUAUACUCAGCUCCAGUGGAGGCUAGGAUAUGUAGUUAAGCUGUAUGCCUAGGAUGAAUAAAAAGCAUAUUUUGGUGAAGAGCUAAUAGUCUUUGGUACAGUAUUGAAGAGUAUGCAAUAUAAGUAAAUGGACAGUGUAAAUUGAAGAAAUAUAUAAAUGACAAAUGAAUAACAGCUAUGUCAAUAAUUGCAACAGUCUUCAUUGGACGUAUGCCAAUAUAAUUCUGGAGACAUUGCUACCAAGGGAGAUGAUUACCAACCUAGUGAAGAUGAGAAUGAUAGAAUACAGUAUUACCCAAUGAACCUGCAUCUAAUGCAAUAUUCCUUUUAUUUUCUUCCUAGGUCCUAAUCCUAGAAGGUGUAUGUCAUAUGCAAUACACAUAGGCAGCGUAACUGAUUAUGAAGAUGUGAUCAUGGUAUCUUGAAGGAAACUGUCAGGCUACAAGUUAUAUAGCCAUCAGUUAUGCAAUUGACUCCUGAAUAGAUACUGUCUUUGAUGACCUGUUUGUGGAGGGCCUAAUAUUACCAUGUAUCUGAAUGUAUCAAGUACUACUUCUAAAGCAUGGUGUAAUACUUGGAAAAAAAUCUUGAAGAGGCUGCAAAAAUCUAAGAAAGCACUGCCUGAGUUGUCCUAGUUUACAGAUGGCAUGGUUGAGAUAAAGCAGUCUCGUUUCUAAAAUCUUCAAAGGGCCAUGGAUAUAAAGAAGAUUACAAAGACUUUCACAUCAUUAUUUCAUUGAAUCUUCACAAUUACUUCGAGAAAUACGCAAGGCAAAUAUACUGUAUUUUUCAAAUUCACAAGAAAGGAACUAACUGAAAAACUUCAAACUUUUGGUUCAAACGAUUGGCUGGGCACGGUGGCUCACGCCUGUAAUCCCAGCACUUUGGGAGGCCGAGACGGGCAGAUCACGAGGUCAGGAGAUCGAGACCAUCCACAAUUUUACAACUUUAUUGUCUUUGUAGACAGGACCUGGAACAGAAGAGGUGCUUUACAAAGGUCUUCUGAGUGGAUAAAUAAAUGGAUGGCUGAAUGCUGUUUUGAGCAUUAAGGGCCUUGGCUGUCAGCACCCAGAAUACUCUACUGGUUAUUUCUGAGAGAACUAAGGAGAAAGAAGCAGCUCACACACGUGCAAGGACAAGUUCACUCAUGCUUGCAUUAGACCUGACCAAACUACUUGCUGGGCAUCUGGGAGAAUUGUGGCCUGUCUACCAGUGCUGUGUGCUGCAUGCACUCCUGCUGUUUCACUGGGCCCAGACCUUCUCCUCUGGAAGACUUGCUGAGUCCUCGGGGUGUCAUGACUGCUUUGAGACCUAGGCUAAGUAUGGGUGGUGGUAAGAAAGUCCUUUUUUCCUUAACUCAAUUUCACACUUGCUUACUUAGGGCCUGAACCAGUUUUGCUUAUGCCCAAGGUCUUACACAUCUUCCAAACACUCUUCCAGGUUCUGGCCACACUUCUUCCUCCCUUCAUCUUAACUGAAACAAAUAAGCAAUUAAUCAAAUAAAUUUCUGUCCCCCAGGAAGAAGAGAUACCAUACCUCUCCUCCACUGGCAUCAUCUCUCCUCUAGUGCUCUUUGAAAAAAACAAACCAACAAAGCUUUUUUCCUUUUUCCAAAUAAAUACUUGGGCAAAGAGGUAUCCCCAACUCCCACUUGGGACAUGUCUAUGAUUCUAAGCUCCAACUUAGCCAGAAUUCCUUAUUAUUUUGCAAAACUUCUGUGCGAUGACAACCAUGUGUAUUAGUGGGUUCGUAUUUGUCAUGUUUCUGAUGCUGAGACCAGUCGCUGGCUUAUGCAUAGUAGAGACUCAGUAAAGACAUACCUUUUAGGAGAGGUCUCCUGGUGGCACCAGGCCUUGCAAAAGAAUGCUAUGAUCUUUGCCAGUUUGAUUCCACAGGGACCAGUCAUGUAGACAACAGCAAAACCACGAGUCUGAGGCCACAGCCUACACUUUGCCCAACAUAUCUGUGUUUGGGUAGGGCUAUAGGGGUGGGCAGUCAUGUAUGUAGGAUACAUAUUCUUGAGACUCAUUUUGGGUAUGGGUUCCUCCAGGAAGCCUGCCCUGAUUCCCAGUAUGAGUUACGUGCACUCCGUAGCAUUCCCAUUGAACACUUCACUUGUCUCCAUCAUAGUAUUUUCCAUUCUGUGCUAUGAUUAUUAUUUAAUUAUCCAUAAUUCUCCACUGGGCUAUGAAGUGGCCUAUUUUAUUUGCUUUUGUAAACCUAGAAGCUGAUAUGAGACCUGGAACUUGAGGAGUUGGAUGGCUUUUUAUUGCUAUGCAAAAACAUAAAUAAAGAAAAUUAAAGCUCUCAACAUGGAUUAUACAUCCCCCACCUCUUACCCCUGUCUGCUUCUCCAGCUUUAUCUUCCUCUUUGCUCAUUUCUCAAAGCUCAAGUACAUUGGCUUCUUUCAGAUCCUUAAAUAUGCUAUGUUCCCUCCUGCUAAAGGAAGUUUUCCUACUUUGGCCCUCAUAAUCUAAGCUCUCAGUUCAUAUUCCACUUUCUUAAGAAAGGCUUCUCUGCUUCUGCCUUACUCUAAUGCAUGCAACACCCAUCACCUCCUACCUCACUCUUUCCAUUCCAGGUCCAGAUUAGGUUCCUUUGUUAUGAGAGCUCACAGAAUCAUGUUCUGUGUCUUCCAAGCACUCACCUUGUAACUACACUCAUGGCUGUGCUUUGUGAUGAAUCUUCCUGCCCACACCUCUUAUUACAUUUUGAUUCCCCAAGAAAAGGGAAUUGUAUAGUAUAUUCCAAAUGAUCAGCACAGUGCCUGACAUACAAACUGUGACAAAUUAAUAUUGUAGAAUAAAUAAAAUGUUUGCUGCAUGGGUAAAUGAAUGAAUUAAUGAAUUCAGAUAAAUUAUGCCAGGCCACUGAAGGCAGAGAGAAGACUGUUAGAGCUCAAAAUACCUCAGUUUUUAUUGUAUUAUUUUGUUAAAUUUAGAUAAGUGGCCUUUUUAUGAGCUCCAAUAGCAAAUUUGCUUAACGAUUUCAGGUGCACCAUGAAAAUAUUUAUGAAAUGUAUUUUCCAGGAUGAGAAAAUAAAACUAGGGUUAAUUUUUAAAUUAAUAACAUGACUAAGGCAAAACCCUAAUACAGUUGCUAUAUACUUAUACAUGUAUUUAACCAGUAUGCAGGUAGAAUUAGUGAUGUAUUCAUGAUUUUCAAAUGCUUCCUACUGGCAUAUGCGGAUAAUCUGAAAGAACAUUUAAUAGGAUAUACUUAAACUACUAAGAUACUUAAAAUAAUUACACUUUUAGAAGAAAGCCACAGAGAUAUUUGAGGAGCCAGUUCAAAGGACUUACAACUUGGUGAUUAUAUUGGCAGAGCUAAUGUUUUAUAAUUAAAGCAGAAUACAGUCAUGCCUCAUAUCCAUGGGGGAUUGAUUGGUUCUAGGACCCCCUUGGAUACCAAAAUCCAUGGAUGCUCAAGUCUCUGAUAUUAAAUGGUGUAGUAUUUGCACUUAACUUACUCACAUCCUCCUGGAUACUUUAAGUCAUCUCUAGAAUACUGUAAUUUAACCUAAUACAAUGUAAAUGCUCUAUGUAUAGUUGUUAUACUGUAUUGUUUAGGUAGUAAUAAAAUCUGUACAUAUUCAGUACAGACACAAUCAUUUAUUAUUUUUUCCCAAAUAUUUUUGAUGUGAGUUUGUUUGAAUCCAAACAAUGCAGAACCACAGAUACAGAGGGCCGACUGUACUUGUAUUUAACACAACAAAGGUAUUUAUUAUCUGGGGGAAGCUCAUAAUUUGUCAAGAAGGACAUAGACUUUAGUGUCAUCCAAACCCAGAUUUGCAUCCUGAUUUCACUGCUCUCCAGCUGCGUAAAGUUGGGUAAGACAGCCAUAUUGGCUUUCUUUCUUUUCCUUGAAAUUCACAAGUCCCUCUUGCUUCAAGGAUUUUGCCUUUGGCUGGGUCUUUCUCAUCCUUCAGAUUUCAGAUCAUAUUUUUUUUCUCUGAGAAAAGGCUGUUUUCAGUUCCUUGGGCAGCUGAUUCUGACAUGCUGAUGUGUUUGCAGAAAGUUGAUUGGGAAAUGCCCUUGGGAAUAAUACUUGUGAAAGAGUAAGGGAAGUAGGAUUGGGCAGAGAGAGAAGUUGAGCUUUGAUGUACUCACAACAGAGGCCUCAGCCAAUCUCACAGGGAGCUCAGGAGUGGGAUAGGCUUUCAGAAUUGUCCUGUAUUUGGCAUCCAGUGUCCUAUCAACCAGGCAUCAGAUGCAAGCUGCCCCCUGGGAAUGGGGAGUCACGGGAGUGAAGUAGCUUCCUUCAGCCAAGGACAAUUCCCAGAGUGAUUCAGCUGUGAGCCCAUGGAAGCCAACAUUGCAGCAGCUGGGACCUCAAGUCCUGAAGGGGAUCAGGGUGAUGCAGCACAGCAUCUGCUAGAGGCCAGGCGGGAUAGACACCUUUGUACACUGCAUUCUAUCACAUCCCUCUGUUUAUUUCUAUUUUAUCAUACCAUGUGUUUUAAAAUUAAUUGAUCCAUUUGUUCAUUGCCUGCCUUCUCUACUCAAGAAGUAGAGUUAUCUCUUGAGGGCAAAUACAUUACCUAUCAGAGAACAAUGUGUACUUAGUAAGUACUGAUUGAAUAAAUGAAGGGUGAAUGAAUGAGUUAGGUCUCUAAUAUGAACUCUACAUCACUUGCCAUCAAAAUUAGGAUGUCCAAAGCUUACUGUACAGAGUAAGGGGUCAUUUUACAAAGUAGCUACAUCUGUAGUAUGUGGAAGGAAUAAAUGAACACUAGAAUCCAGUUCUCAUUCUGAAAGUAGAAAUAGAAUAUGGUCUCAAAUUGUAAUAUCAGAUCCAUUAUAAUUUCCAAGUAAGUUUUCCAAAGGAAAAAAAGUUAAAUGUUUUAUUCUAAUUAGUAAAGUAACAGAUGUGUUAUUGUGGAAAAUGUGGGCAAUACAAAAGCUAUAAAUAAGAAGAUAAAAUUUAUCCAUUACCAAAACACAGAGAAUGACGACCACUGUUAGUAUAUUAUGAUAUGUUAAUUCUCAACUUUUUUCCCAUUUCUAUUUUCUAAAUAAUUGAAUCAUACUGCUUCUAUAGGGUGUUUUUUUCCUUCAGAAUCAUAUAAAGUUUUUGAGGUCAUCAAAAUCCUUUAGGAAUAUCAUUUUUAAAGGACUACUUUUUAGUUCUUUAAAAUUAAAUUCAGUUGCAACAUUAUUAUUUAAGCCUACUACCAUGAUAAUUAUAUUGUUUCCAUUUUUUGUGAUUACAAUUUCAAGUAAGUCUUUCUUAUAAUCAGAUUUAUUAAUGAUUAUUCUUUUAAACGCUCAGAUGAUCUAAUUUGUUAAUCAUAUGCCUCAUUUGUCAGUUAGAUCAAAUCACUCCCUUUCAUUAAAGUCUUUUAUCAGAAAUAAUACAGUAGAAAAAAAUCGCUAAGCUAAAAGUAAGGCAUUCUGGGUUAGAAUCCAGGUUGCCAACUUACUAGAUGUAGUCUUGGGAAAGUAAUGUGCUAUUCUACCUGGGGCCUCAGUUUCUUUGAUUGUAAAAUGGAAUGAUUGAACUAGAUAAUCUUUGAAAACGCUUUUCACUGUGGUAUCCUACGCUAUUAUGACUGCUUCUUACUUUCUCCCAGAAACAAGCUUCAUGGGCUCAAUUUCAGGCCUCUUUGACAUUCUGAGUUAACUACAAAUCUUCUCUGAUUUCCUGUAUUUCUGAUUUAAUUUCUGACCCUUUAUCCAAUUUUGGCUGGUCCUUAAUCUUCUUAUCUAGGUCUUACUAUUGUUCCUUCUUUCACUGCUAUCCAUUAAACUGAAAUGAACCCUCUCUUCUUGAUCUUUUACCCACUCAGUACCUAAUUCUUCUUUAAUCUUUUCUCAACAUUUAAUGUUAUUUUUUUCUGCAAAACUGUUUGAUGUUCAGUGCUCACAAAGAUUGUUCAACUUUCUGCUUUCUCUUUUUCUGCAAAAAUAAAUGCAAACAAAAAGUUGGGUAAAAGAAUGAAGGGAAGUAAAGUUAAACCAAGUAACAUGAUAUAGCACACAUCUGGCGUUUUUAAUACAUUUUGUCUGUAACAGACUCUAUGUGGUAUGGGGAUUGGGAGUGAGGGUGUGGGAAGGGGCAGGAUAUGCUGAGGACAGCCUGAAAGGCCAAAGAGUAUUUCAGUCAGUGAGGAAGGUUAAUUGAGGCCCAUGCAUCACAUUACUCUUAAUCUUCUAAUAAAAAUGAUGAUAGUAGUCGGUAAUUGGUAACAUUUUAAAUUGCUUUUUAUGUGGCAGGUGUUAUACUAAGUGCAUGAACAUACAAUGUCUUCCUAAAUCCUCAGAAACCCCUGUGAGGUGGAAAUUAUUAUUACCUCCAAUUGGUAGAUGGGGAAACUGGUAUUAAAAUCAUUUUACUAUAUUAUAACAAAUUUACAGUAAAUAUAUAAAAUCCUAGGAGUGUAGUUAGCAUAAUGGCAGAUUUGGGUUAUACUGUGUAUCAGAAUGUUUUAUGUUUCAAGUCGUCUCAACUAGGAUUUAUGCAAAAUCAGAGCCUGAGGAAAGGAUUUAGCAAGAUGAUUCCAGGAAUCGGAAGUGAGGAAAGUGAGAGAGAGAAAGAGGGAGAGCAAAAUAAGGGUCAUGGAGACCACCACUGCAGGCAUCUCCAGAGAGUAGUCUGUCUCUGUCUCUCAAGAUCAAAUCCCCUGGAAGUGCAAAGACUGGCAUUCAUUCUUUAGUUACAUACUAUCUUUUCUGAAAAUGGGUUUUCAGAAAAUAAAAAUUUGGGGAUGUUGAUAGGCAAGAUAAGGGCUCACUUCCUUUUUUUAUGCUCCACUAUACUUGCUUCAAAGACGUUGCAUUUUUUACACAUUGAAGGUUUGUGGUAACUCUAUGCCUAACAAAUCUAUAGGACCCAUUUUUUUCAAUAGCAUCUGCUAACCUCAUGUCUCUUGCUCACGUUUUGGCCAUUCGUACAAUAUUUCAAACUUUUCCAUUAUUACUGUAAUGAUUCUGCUGAUCUGUGAUCAGUGAUCUUUGUGGUUACUACUGUAAUUGUUUCAAGGAAGCAUGAAUUGUGCCCAUACAAGACGCUGAAUGUAAUCAAUCAAGGUUGUGUGUAUUUUGACUGCUCCACUGACCUGCCAUUACCCUGUGUCUCUCCGUUUCUUCAGACCUUCCUAUCCCCUGAAACACAACAAUAAUGAAGUUAGGCCAAUUAAUAACCUACAAACGUCAGGCACAGUGACUCAUACCUGUAAUCCCAGCACUUUGGGAGGCCGAGGCAGGCAGAUCACGAGGUCAGGAGUUUGAGACCAGCCUGGCCAACAUGGUGAAACCCCGUCUCUACUAAAAAUACAAAAAUUAGACAGGUAUGGUGGUGCCUUCCUGUAAUCCCAGCUACUCAGGAGGCUGAGGCACGAAAAUCGCUUGAACCCGGGAGGUGGAGGUUGCAGUGAGCUGAGAUUGCGCCACUGCACUCCAGCCUGGGCGACAGAAUGAGACUGUCUCAACAACAACAACAACAACAACAAUAAGCUACAAUGGCCUCUAAGUGUUCAAGUGAAAAAGUAAGAGUCUUACAUUCUCUCACUUUAAAUCAAGAGCUAGAAAUGACUAAUAAGGAAGGCACGUUAAAAGCUGAGUUAGGCUUUUAUGCCAGAGUUAGCCAAAUUUUGAAUAAAAAGGAAAAGUUAUUUAAGGAAAUUAAAAGUGCAACUCCAGUAAACACAUGUACAAUAAGAAAGCAAAACAGCCUUACUGCUGAUGUGGAGAAAAUCUAAGUGGUCUGGACAGAUGAUUAAACCAGCCACAACAAAACCUAAUCCAGAGCAAGGCCCUAAGUCUCAUCAACUCUAUGAAGGCUAAGAGAAGUCAGCUACAGAAUGAAGUUUGAAGCCAGCAAAGGUGGGUUCAUAAGAUUUAAAGAAUGAAACCAUCUCCAUAAUGUAAAAUGCAAGGUGAAGCAGCAAGUACUGAUGUAGAAGCUGUAAGUUUUCCAGAAGAUCUAGCCAAGAUCAUUAAUGAUGGUGGCUACACUAAACAACACAUUUUCAUUACAAACAAAACAGCCUUCUGGAAGAAGAUGCCAUCUAGGACUUUCAUAGCUAGAAAAGAGAAGUUGAUACCCGGCUUUAAGAUGUCAAGGGACAGGCUGACUCUUGUUAAGGGCUAAUGUAGCUGGUGACUUUUUUAAUUGUGAAAGGAAAAUAAAAUCUUGAGACCCCAAUUCAUUAUGCCAAAAGGAAAAAUUAAGCUGAAAGCUGAGCCGUGCAAGUAACUGCCUUUCCUUUUGUUCCUAAGCAGGUAGGCAAAGGUAAAAGGCCAGAUAUUGCCACAGGUAGCUACUCUGUGUUCACUUACAUAAUUUACUAUUCUGCCUACCUGAAUCCUUACAAGAUAUGGAUUCAGUAAUGCAACUGUACUGUACCUCUUUCCCUUCCAGCCUGCUUUCCCCCUUUAAAUAUUGAAGCCCUCAAAAUCAUCUUUGGAAAAGGCAUGGACCAUAGAUUGUUCCUGUGGUUCUGUGUUCUUUUUUCCUGGGCAUGUCCUUAUCCAUGGAAAAAUAAACUUCUAAAUUGAUCGAGACCUGUCUCAGAUACUUUUCAGUUUACAUGUUGAAGCUAAUGUUCAUUUACAAUUCUGAAAAUUCUGGGACCCUUAAGAAUUAUGCUAAAGUUGAGUCUGAAUUUGGGCAGCUCAUCACCUUCCUGCAUCAUUUGUGCCUCUUCUAUAAGGUAAGAAACUUUUCCAGGCUGAGGAUCUGAGCUCCUACCAGCCCCUAGUUCUCAGAGUUCUUAGAUCACUGUGGGUCUCAUCUCCCUCUUUUCUAACUCUGAUCCAGUCGCUGCAUGUGCUUUUUAAAUGGAAUAACAAUGCCUGGAUGACAGCACAUCUGUUUACAGCAUGGUUUACUAAAUAUUUUUAGCCUACUGUUGAGACCUACUGCUCAGGAAGAAGGAUUCCUCUCAAAAUAUUCUUUCUCAUAGACAGUAUACCUGGUCACCCAGGAACUCUGAUGAAGAUGGACAAGGAAAUUUACGUGGCUUAUUUUUUAAUGUCUGCUAACACAACAUCCAUUCUGUAGCCCACAGAUCAAAGAGUAAUUUCAACUCUCAAGUUUUAUAAUUAUAAAAAUGCAUUGCAUAAGGCUAUAGCUGUCAUAGACAGUGACCCCUCUGGUGGACCUGGGCAAAGUAAAUUGAAAACCUUCUGGAAAGGAUUCACCAUUCUAGAUGCCAGAGAGAACAUUUUUGAUUCAUGGGAGGAGGAGGUCAAAAUAUCAACAUUAACAGAAGUUUGAAAGAAGUUGAUUCUGACCCUCAUGAAUGACUUGAGGGGUACAAGGCUUUAGUGGAGGAAGACACUGCAGAUGUGGUGGAAAUAGCAAGAGAACUAGAAUUAGAAGUUGAGCCUAAAGAUUGGACUGAAUUGCUGCAAUCUCAUGAUAAAACUUGAACAGAGGGCCAGGCAUGGUGGCUUAUGCCUGUAAUCCCAGCACUUUGGGAGGCCAAGGCGGGUGGAUAACAAGGUCAGGAGUUUGAGACCAGCCUGGCCAAUAUGGCGGAACCCCAU